rnacentral:rRNA from 1 species
UACGUAGGGUGCAAGCGUUAAUCGGAAUUACUGGGCGUAAAGCGUGCGCAGGCGGUUCCGCAAGUCAGAUGUGAAAUCCCCGGGCUCAACCUGGGAACUGCAUUUGAAACUAUGGAGCUAGAGUGUGUCAGAGGGGGGUAGAAUUCCACGUGUAGCAGUGAAAUGCGUAGAGAUGUGGAGGAAUACCGAUGGCGAAGGCAGCCCCCUGGGAUGACACUGACGCUCAUGCACGAAAGCGUGGGGAGCAAACAGG